rnacentral:tRNA from 1 species
CAGGAAAUAGUUUAAUUUAGAAUGCUAGCUUUGGGAGUUAGUGGUGAGAGUUAAAAUCUUUCUUUCCUGG